AGGUGUUCCUCUUCCUCCGUGUCGGGUUCAUCGUCCUCUUUGGAUCUCCCUCUCCUUCCCUUCCAGAUGAAUGAGGGAUGGUUCAUUAUUCCAUGGGCUGAUGUGAAGAAUUUGUCGAGGGUUCUUUCUAUGUUUUUGCUCCAGUUGAUUUCGUUAUUUAUGAGGGUAGUGACUCCUUAGGUUUAAGGAAAAAUCAAGUGAAUUUGUUCACGAUCUAGAUCAUUAGGCAAUGACUUGUAUAUAUGGAAUCACAAACCUAGUCGGAAGAGGAAGUAUUUCCUCGUAGGUAAAUCAGAGGUGUAAAGGGUGAAAUUGACUUCUAAGAAAUGAUUGCCUUCCGGUAUGAUAUUGGAAAUAAACAACCAACGAACUCCUAAUGCCUUGCAUGUCUAAUCAACUAUGCAUUUUGAUUUUCCUCUUUGUCCAAGUAUCUAUCACAGGACAAGAUACUAGAAUGUUGGAAGUUUGAAUGAUCUUUUGGGUAUGAAUUGGUAGGACUAAAGGGAAAGAAUAGAAGGUAGAUGUGUUUACAGUAAAUGACAUACCCACCCACAAAAGCCAGUAAAAGAUGCUUCUUGAGCAUUUAAGUAUCUUUCCAGUUUUGUUGUAGUUUCGUAAGCUAGCUUGAGCAUUUGAUCAAAAUGGAAGUGAAUACUUACUGAGAGAAUUUUAUUUAUUACAGGCACAGGCCCUAAGUUUUAGGCAUAAGACCUAACCAAAGGUCACUGUAGAUUACAGUUGGGUACAUGAUUCAUUCAAUCCUAGAUAAUUUCAUUAAGUUCAUACAGGCGGUCAAUGCCACAUCAGGGCAAGCAAAUGUGCAUGUAGCAUGGAUAAGCUUACUCACAGCAAGUAAUUUUUCAUCUUUUGGGGAUCCAAAACCUGGUCCAUGGAACGAAGGUAGGAGGUACUCCCGGCUGAGAUAAGACUGGUCGUUUAAUUUGAGCAUAAUUACAAGUUUUAACCACUACAAUGUCCAUCUAUAAUAUAAUGUUCUUUUUCCUUUUCAGGCAUGGCAGUGGGUCAUUCUUUGAGGCACAUGUGCCUAACUGACCUGCUUAUGCUGGAUAGGGUUCCCAUUGAUUGGGUCUGGGAUGAGUCUGGACAAGCAAAUAAGUACUAACUUCAUGUUUGGGUAUCUAAGUGUCAGAUUUGUAAUAGGUAGGAUGAAAUUUGUGGAUAAUACCAUUGCCAUCCUACUAAUGCUGGAUACUGUGGUGUUGUCUUGGUGAUACAUGAUCACAUUAUUACUAUUUAUAGUUUAUCCUUAGGAUAUCUUCUGGCCAUAUUUAGACCAUAUAUUGAAUCCAAACCUUUUCCCAUCUAUAUGUGUUCAUCUGUAGAGGAUAAAAUAAAAAUAAAAAAAAUCAAAAGAAUAUAUUAAUAACUGGGUGUUAACAUGUCACAUUCUAACCAAAUGCUAAAAGAUAAAUUUGACAAAAAACUUAAAGAACUAGUUGCCAGAUAGAUCUCUUUAGUUGCAGUGCUUGACCCUAAGAAUUCUUUACUGGCCAAGUCUAGAAGCAGGUGAAAUGGGCAAUUUUUUCUUUAUGGAUAAGUGUUCAUCAGAAAGGUACAAGUAAGCUGGAACCCCAUUGAGACACUUCACUCAUGAACCGCACAAAAUUAUAUCAAGGAAACCAGGAAAGUGGGCAGCCUAACUCUAUGGGCAUUUCCAUAUUGAAGUUUUGGAUGUGACAAAUUUCAGUCUACAUCAGUUAAUAUUGCCAUAUUCACCUAAUCCAUCACUGCAUAUUUGGCUUAUUAUUGCUGUCAGAAGUAUUAGUAAGUUUCACCUGUUAAUAGAAUGACUGCAGCAUCAUUCUUUCGUACUACACGAGUUCUUGUCUUUCUUUAUGAACAUGAUAACUGUUUGCUAUGCUUUCAUAUUUCUCACUUUCACUUAGUUCAAGUUCAUCUUCUUUUUAAGUUUUUUCAUUCAUUCACAAAGAAUGCCAUCUGAAUAAAGUCAGAUACUCAUCCAAAGCUGCACUUUGUUAAGCACAGAGCACAUAAACAGUCAACCUCAUGGUUCUUGCAUUUUUUAGUGGAUCUUUUACCACCAUUGAGUUUUGUGUAAGGCAAUAUGUCGUUAGUUCAAGAACAUUCAAAUCUCUUUUUUAUUUAGUAAAGCCUUUAUAGGUCUCCCUUGAUUUCUCCCCGUACCACUAAUGCUAACUGAAUUGCAGUGUCUAACCACAAUAUCUGUAGGUUUCAACGCAAUUUAGCUACUCAAAUAGUUAUGGCCACAGGAAUAAAUUUGCUGGAUUAUCUUAGGUUUUAAUUCCAUCAGAGAGCAAGACUUUGCAUUUAUAUGAAGCAAGGUAUUUGGCACUGUUGGAAGAGUCACUCUCUAGAAAGAAGCUGUUUGUGCACUUUGUGUUGGAUCCAGUUCGUUCCAGUAUAUCUUCAAGUGGAGCAUCCUAUGCUGCUAGAUAUGGUUGUUUGGUUGCCAUAGAGAGUGUUAAGCGUUUGGAGAUUGGGGCACUGGUUUCUAUUAGGGGCAUUAGUCGUGUUAACAUCAUAGAACUUAUGCAGAUGGUGAUAUUCUUCGUUGAUUCAGAUGGAACCUUACUUGAGAGGACUUGUUGUGCCAAUGCUGGACAAUGUUUCUGGCCAAGAAAAAGAACUUGAACAGAAACUCUUGGAACUGACUGAGUACCUUGUUAGUCUACAUAACCUGCAAAUCAAACUGAAGGCAUCCAAAGAAGAACUGCUGCAAACCCGUACCACGAAUUCUAUGGCAUGGGCACAAAGAGAAGGUUUUGGAGACUGUGAUCAAGCUUUCAUUCCAAAACUAGCUGAACGAAUAUCUUUUGCUGGACUACAACCAGUAUCAG